AAUGUGGAGCUGAUGAAGAGGAAGGACCAAUGACACGAAGGCUCAGAUCCAUCAGAGUAUCAGAGUUGUUGGUCUCUCGUCUCCUCUCACUUCAGACAUGAAACACUGGCUGAGAAACAUCCUGGUUACGACUCUCUGGCUGGGUGUCAGCUGUGAACAACUGAGUCCAGUCCAGACUGAAGAGUUCAGUGUAGAAGGCAGAACUGUGACUCUGUCCUACGACUUCUCCAGGACAAUAACUGCUGGUGAUAAUUUCUUCUGGUAUCGACAAGAUCCAGGAAAACCUCCAGAGUUCCUCCUGCACAUCUCAGGACUCAACGUGACAAGAGCGGCAGAUUCUCUGAAAUCAGAAACAAGGUUCUUCAGUCGACUGUCUGAAGAAAAUCAUGGAGUCAAACUGCAGAUCUCCUCUGCUGCAGUGACUGACUCUGCUGUGUACUACUGUGCUCUGAGGCCCACAGUGACAGGAAACACCAAACCUCUGUACAAAAACACAACUCAAUACUCCCCAUCAGCCACUAGAGGACGACACUAUGAAGUAGGCGGGGCUCUACUGUACUUGUGCACUGUGUUCACCACUGUGUGA